AUGGCAACCUGGCCCCCCUGCCAGGCCUGCCAGGAAAGCCGGCGGACACGUAAGCCACGCCCACUCUGGGCCCAACGCAGUCUCUUCGCGGAGACUCUGAACCCAGCCAGCGAGAGGCAAGAGGGAGUCCCGCCCCUUGCCCUCCAUAUCGGACUAUGGGAACCCACUCAUUGGCUGCAGCGUUUGUCAGCGUCUGGAGGCUUUGAAUCCACCAGGCAAAGACCCAGUGCAUCUGUGCGUUGCACAGUCGCAUCUGUGAAUCCCUGCGUCCCUCCUGCCCCGCCUGCCAAGACUGCUGUGCAGCUUUUCUACCGUCACAUACCGGUAAAAUGUGUGCAAGAUUUCUGGUUGCAUAAGCACCAUUUGUUGAGAAGACUUUCCUUUUCUUCACUGGAUUGCUUUGAUGUCUCUGUCAAAAACCAAUUGGUCAUAUAAAUAUUCAUACAGAAUCGCAUCUGCAUAGAACUGCAAUGAACCUCUCCAUCAUCCAUCACCAUCUUCGGCAAGGUGUGGAUCUUAGCCUGGUGGUAGAAUGUGAAGAUGAGGACCUCAUCCAGGUCCUUCCUUCCUGGGGUGCUCUGCCUCAGCCCUAGAGGCUGUCCCUUACGUCUGCUGUAAUUGUAUUCUUUAGCGUUUUCUUUUCCCUUUACUAGGUAAUCCCCUCUUACACACAGUACUUUUUUAUAUUAAAAUUUCCUUGUCCAAAUUAUUGUGUGGUUUCUGUAUCCUGAGUAAACCCUGACCAAUACAUGGCUAUACCAAUUUAUACUUCUACCUGCAAUGUGUGAGAGCUCCAGUUCCUCCACAGGCAAUUAUUUUAAAGCCUUUGUCUACCAACCACAACAUCUGGAUGAUCUGUGUGUCUUCUUCUAUUGUCUGUUUUUUUCUCUUGCUUAUCAAUGAUAUUUUCAUGCCUCUUCACAAGUCUACUUAUUUUUUACUAUAUGUAGACAUUAUAUAUAAGAGGCAUAGAGACUCCAGAUGAUAUAAUUUGCCACACAGUGUUCCCUCUUUCUUCUGUUAAGCAGAUGGGAGUAAGGAAUGAUCGCAUCAGUCCAGUGAAGGACUGAAGUGGGUUGAGACUGGGUUUUGGUUUUUGGAAUCUAUCUAUCUCAAGUCCAUCUCUGGUUUGCCCCUAUACCUGACAUGUGGAUUUUGGGUGAGUGCCUUGCCGGGUUUCUGGAUCCUCAGCCAUGAAAGACUAUGGAGAUUCAGCUCUGCUUUUCAGAGGUUCCCAGUCCAGCUUCCAGACUGUCUCCAUGGAGCUUCAAGAUCUGGCCAAUGUCUUGAGGUGGGAACUGGCUCUGUGUUUGGGGAAGGCCCUUCCUUCUUGGGAAACUUUCAUUUUCUAAGCACUGUGGGACUAUAGAAUAUUUCAACCUUUUUUUUUUUUUUUUGAAAUAGGGUCUUGCUCUGUUGGCCAGGCUGGAGUGCAGUGGCGCAAUCAGAGCUCACUGCAGCCUUGACCUCCCCAGCUCAAGUGAUUCUUUCAUGUCAGCCUCCCGAGUAGCUAGGACCACAGGUGCGCACCACUACGUCUGGCUAAGUUUUAUUUUUUCUUUGUAGAGAUGGAGUCUCCUUGUGUUGCCCAGGUUGGUCUUGAACUCCUGGGCACAAGUGAUCCUCCCACCCUGGCCUCCCAAAGUGCUGGGAUUAUAAGCAUGGUCCACUGCAUCUGGCCCUAUUCUGCUUUUAGAUGCAUUCCUAGGUGCAGAACUCAGCAAAUGUCAGGUGCAGAAAAAUGGUUUUGUAUUUAAAGCUCCCAUGUUCUAAUUUGUCAUUCUAGCACCUGUAGCCACUAAAAGCUUUGCUGGUUUCCCUUUCCUCCAUUACAGGUCCUCCUGCUAGGCAAACUUGAUCAUUAGCGAGUGCCCCAAACUGACAGAUGCCCUGGGGAUGAGGG
rnacentral:lncRNA from 1 species